rnacentral:rRNA from 1 species
AUUGAACGCUGGCGGCAUGCCUUACACAUGCAAGUCGAACGGUAACAGGUCUACGGAUGCUGACGAGUGGCGAACGGGUGAGUAAUACAUCGGAACGUGCCUAGUAGUGGGGGAUAACUACUCGAAAGAGUGGCUAAUACCGCAUGAGAUCUACGGAUGAAAGCAGGGGAUCGCAAGACCUUGUGCUACUAGAGCGGCCGAUGGCAGAUUAGGUAGUUGGUGGGAUAAAAGCUUACCAAGCCGACGAUCUGUAGCUGGUCUGAGAGGACGGUCAGCCACACUGGGACGGAGACACGGCCCAGACUCCUACGGGAGGCAGCAGUGGGGAAUUUUGGACAAUGGGCGAAAGCCUGAUCCAGCAAUGCCGCGUGCAGGAUGAAGGCCUUCGGGUUGUAAACUGCUUUUGUACGGAACGAAAAGCCCUGGGUUAAUACCCUGGGGUCAUGACGGUACCGUAAGAAUAAGCACCGGCUAACUACGUGCCAGCCGCCGCCGUAAAAC